rnacentral:rRNA from 1 species
CGAACGACUCUCGGCAACGGAUAUCUCGGCUCACGCAUCGAUGAAGAACGUAGCAAAAUGCGAUACUUGGUGUGAAUUGCAGAAUCCCGUGAACCAUCGAGUUUUUGAACGCAAGUUGCGCCCGAAGCCAUUCGGCCGAGGGCACGUCUGCCUGGGCGUCACGC